AAGCUCUAGUGGUGUUGGUUGUGUUCUGGAAGACCUGAGGGACACAACGGCUACCAUGCACAUCUGCAUCCUGUAUGUGGCUGAGGGGGAGCCUCACGGAUUUAUGAAGAAUCCAGAAAUGUGUGUCAUCAUUAUGGAAAAAGGGCGACACAGAUCCACUGAUUGGUGGAGUUUGGAUCAGAGCACAGGAAGAAGUCAAGCUAAGCAGUCACAAGCAAGAGAACAUUCGGCUCCUCUCUCAUCCGCCACAUACUUGACCCACAGUAACUCCGCUUUGACAGAGCAUCACAGCUUUUCUGUGUAAGACAGAGCCUAGUUUUAGGAAACUGUGAUUAUGAAAGACAUCCAGUCAUAGAUGUCCUUUCUCUCUUUUCCAGCUUUGUUGAAGAAGGCUGACAGAAGCUCGCUUCUGGUUACGUUUUGCGAACUGUCACUCUUCCUGAAGAUAACACCCCUGCACAGAGGCUUGGAAAUGCCAAGGUGUCGAUGUGUGCGAUGCCAGGAAAGGUCAGGAGAUGAUUUACUGAACAUUUAUGGAGGCUUUAUCUUCAGUCCUUGUCACCAAGUCGGGCGAUGCUUCAUAGUGGGUCGCCAAACAGACGUGGAAAAAGAGAGAGCGGGACAACGCCACAACCCCUGA
rnacentral:lncRNA from 12 species